AUUUUGUCAUUAACCGAUCUCAAGUUGGAGUGAUAGAGUUAGAAACCAGAGAAGAAUCCUACCCUAACUGAACAUUUACAGAAGUAUCCCAGGAUGCCUGUGUCAGCUGCCGCUUACACCCUUGUCGUCUUUCUGGCCGUUAGUGUUAUCGUGAAAGUGAUAGAUGCACAGAUUUGUCCAUAUUUCGCGAAGUGUUACUCAGACUACAGCCGGGCUUAUAGAUCAGCAGGACAAGACAAGGACAAAAUGUGCAAGUA